AUUGAACGCUGGCGGCAGGCCUAACACAUGCAAGUCGAACGGUAACAGGAAGCAGCUUGCUGCUUCGCUGACGAGUGGCGGACGGGUGAGUAAUGUCUGGGAAACUGCCUGAUGGAGGGGGAUAACUACUGGAAACGGUAGCUAAUACCGCAUAACGUCGCAAGACCAAAGAGGGGGACCUUAGGGCCUCUUGCCAUCGGAUGUGCCCAGAUGGGAUUAGCUAGUAGGUGGGGUAACGGCUCACCUAGGCGACGAUCCCUAGCUGGUCUGAGAGGAUGACCAGCCACACGGGAACUAAGCCACGGCCCAGCCUCCUACGGGGGGCAGCAGUGGGGAUUAUUGAACAAUGGCCGCAGGCCUGAUGCAGCCCUGCGGGGUGAAUGAAGAGGCCCUUGGGUUUGUAAAGUUCUUUCGGGGGGGAGGAAGGGAUAAAAUUUAAUCCCUUCGCUCAUUGCUUUUCCCCGAAAAAAAACCCCCGGCUACCCCCGUC
rnacentral:rRNA from 1 species